GACGAACGCUGGCGGCGUGCUUAACACAUGCAAGUCGAACGGAAAGGCCCUGCUUUUGUGGGGUGCUCGAGUGGCGAACGGGUGAGUAACACGUGAGUAACCUGCCCUUGACUUUGGGAUAACUUCAGGAAACUGGGGCUAAUACCGGAUAGGAGCUCCUGCUGCAUGGUGGGGGUUGGAAAGUUUCGGCGGUUGGGGAUGGACUCGCGGCUUAUCAGCUUGUUGGUGGGGUAGUGGCUUACCAAGGCUUUGACGGGUAGCCGGCCUGGGAGGGUGACCGGCCACAUGGGGACUGAGGGACGGCGCAGACUCGAACGGGGGACAGCAGUGGGGAAUAUUGCACAGUGGGCGGAAGCCUGAUGCAGCGGCGCCGCGGUCGGGAUGACGGCCUGCGGGUUGUAAACCGCUUUCGCCUGUGACGAAGCGUGAGUGACGGUAAUGGGUAAAGAAGCACCGGCUAACUACGUG
rnacentral:rRNA from 1 species